rnacentral:lncRNA from 1 species
AGAGUCAUGAUCGUAGUAUAGAAACAAGGUGGAAGCUAAAGAUGCCGUACCUCAAGAUCCGUCGGUACCAUUGUUAGAAGAUAUACAGUGCGAGUUUUUAGUUUUGAUUAGGGACAAUAUGUAGCUUGAUUUGUGUCAAUCUCUGAGCCGUCUUGGAGAAAAUUUAUUUAUUUGUUACGUUCGUAUAUUUGGUUAGUGAGUGUCCACCCUAUGCAUGGAAUCAUCAAAGUCAUAGCGUUGGAAUCAUCAAA